UAGGGAAUCUUCCACAAUGGACGCAAGUCUGAUGGAGCAACGCCGCGUGAGUGAAGAAGGCUUUCGGGUCGUAAAACUCUGUUAUUGAAGAAGAACGUGUGUGACAGUAACUGGUCAUGCAGUGACGGUAUUCAAUCAGAAAGUCACGGCUAACUACGUGCCAGCAGCCGCGGUAAUACGUAGGUGGCAAGCGUUGUCCGGAUUUAUUGGGCGUAAAGCGAGUGCAGGCGGUCUUUUAAGUCUGAUGUGAAAGCCUUCGGCUUAACCGAAGAAGAGCAUCGGAAACUGGGAGACUUGAGUGCAGAAGAGGAGAGUGGAACUCCAUGUGUAGCGGUGAAAUGCGUAGAUAUAUGGAAGAACACCAGUGCGAAGGCGGCUCUCUGGUCUGUAAACUGACGCUGAGGCUCGAAAG
rnacentral:rRNA from 1 species